GACUUGAAUAUAGUAUGAUUAUGAAAUAAUAAGACUAAUUUUGACAUGUGGUUUAUGUAAUUGGUUUCAUUACUUGAUAGCCACACUUGAGACUUUA
rnacentral:pre_miRNA from 9 species